AUUAUAUUCCCUCCGUCCUGAAUUACUUGCCGUAGAGAUGGAUAAAAAUGGAUGUAUAUAGAACCAAAAUAUGUAUAGGUACAUCCAUUUCCACGACAAGCAUUUCCGGACAGAGGGAGUAGAAG
rfam:Hordeum vulgare subsp. vulgare, WGS project CAJW01000000 data, contig: morex_contig_40536